ensembl:rRNA 5S_rRNA 5S ribosomal RNA
AUCUAUAGCCACACCACCCUGAACAUGUCCAAUCUCAUCAGAUCUCAGAAGCUAAGCAGGGUCGGAGCUGGUUAGUACUUGGACAGAAGAAUGAUCUUUGGAGAGAUUUUUUCUUUGAAAAAU